GGUACGUAAGCUAAGUGGCAUGACACUGGACUUUGGUACUUCACCCAAUUUCCUUUAAUUUGCAUGUUGAAGAAAGAUAUCAAAAGGGCAGGAUGAAGCCACCUUUGCCCAGCUGCCCUGGUAGGGCUCCCCUGGCAGCCGUGCCGUGGUGUUGUGCUGUGCUGGGGACGGCUGUGCUGUGCCCAGAACGUAGCCCAGCCUUUUCCAUAAGCUGCGUAGGCCGCACAGGUACAGGGGCUGCACACACCCCAAUGUGGGGCAGUGCUGCAUCAGCUGGGCAGGAGCUUGUUUUGCUGUUUCUGUUUGGUUUUUUCACCUCGGUGAUAAUUCUUGCCCAAUGUGCGAUCUCUGCUCUGUGUACUUUACUACUCCUUGUGAUAAUCAAAAUCCGGCCCUGAACUUUUUCACUACAAAGGAAACAAGAACUUUGCCCUGCUGGCUGUUAACAGGGCACUCUGCGAUGCCGCAGCCUCUUCUCACGUGCAAAAACCCCUAAAGUCUGAGGAAAUCAGGCUCACGCUGAUGACAGAACGCUUAUUGUUUUUUCACCGGUGAGGGUGGGGAUCAGCUACUUUGACAUGGACAUGAGGUUUCUGGUGUCAGACUCCUCUUAAAAAAGGAGCAGGCACCCAACCAGUUUGGGGAAAAAAAACCCUUUAAACACCAGGACCGCCAAUAACGGCUCAAAGUGCAACCUGUGGUGGGUUCAAAGCGCUGACACAUUAACCAGACCUUGGGCCACCGUCUGUAGUUGCCGCUGGGUGCCCACACCGUGUCUGCCGGGAGCGGGAAUGAGGGUGGCCCUGUUAUUACCCGAGCGGAGAAAGGGCGCAGCGGUGUUUGCACAGUGCGGACGGAAGCGCUGGUGGCGGCCCUGAGGUGUUGGGUGUGCGGUGGCAGGGCAGCGAUGACAAGGUGUAACCUGCCUCAGGUGAAACCUCUGGCUCCAAGCCUCCCCCUGACCCCAAAAGAGGCAAAGCAUUUCUGGAUUCACUUGAAGACUGACACAUGGACAUGUUUCCAUUGAAGUUGCUACAGGUGACAGGAGCUUUCUUCAGAAGACCGACAAAAGGACUGGAGCACAUAACUUCUCAGUGCUACAAAAAACAUCAGGGACGAAUACAGUCCUGAACGCACAGUCACAAAGCCGUUCCAAAUUGCAACUGUGAGCACCCAUAUGAGUUCAACAGAAAAAGGUAAGA